GCACUGGGUCACAGCUGCACCCUUGGUUUGUAAACGGCAUGUAUCCCUGUACAGCAUGUGUUCUGCACUGUUCUGCAAAUACUACACACAAUUAUUAUACGACGGCACAAACAGAGUUCCGCAGAGUUCUGCACGUUCUGCAAGUUCCGCAAAAUACCCACACCC
rnacentral:lncRNA from 1 species